UAAAAAUACAAAUAUGAUCAUGUCUCUUUCUUGCUUAACCCCUUUCAAUGGCUUUCAAUGCAUAGUGAAUAAAUUUGAAACUCAUUAGCAGGGCUUAGAAGACUUUCCACAGCACCCACUUUAUCUCCAGCUGUGUAUCUUUGCAUCUCCUUGCACUCCCCUAAUUGCUCCACACCAAACUUCUUGUCCUUUUCUAGACAUGCUAUGCUGUGUCGUAAUUACAUGCCUUUGCAUCAAUUGUUCUCUUUGCCUGAAAUUGUCAUUUUCACCUUUGAACAUUUUGGUCAUCCUUUAGCAAUGUACUUUUAUGAAGACUUCUCAGACGUGUCAUUCCCUUCUUUCUGCUUUCCUGGUAAUUCACAUUAAUCUUUAGUAGAACAGUUACCACAAUAUAUAGUUGUUAUGCAAGUGUUUCUUCUCUGCAUCAUGAACAAUGUGUUCUUGGUGUGUCCUGGUGCCUGGUUCAUAGUUGGUGCUCAAUAUAUAUUUCUUCAGUACAUUGCCAUGAAUGUGGAUAAGUUGUCCCCUGAAGAAAGAAUAGGACAGGGUGGCAAGGACUGCUCAAAGGAAUGCUUAUAAUUAGAGGAUGGAGAAAAACCAAUAAUCAGAGGAUCAGUCAGACAAGA
rnacentral:lncRNA from 1 species